rnacentral:rRNA from 1 species
GGGUUGUGAGGUUAAGCGAAUAAGCGUACACGGUGGAUGCCUAGGCAAUCAGAGGCGAUGAAGGACGUGCUAAUCUGCGAUAAGCGUCGGUAAGGUGAUAUGAACCGUUAUACCCGACGAUUUCCGAAUGGGGGAAACCCAAUAUCCUAUGGAUAUUAUCAUUAACUGAAUACAUAGGUUAAUGAGGCGAACCGGGAGAACUGAAACAUCUCAGUACCCCGAGGAAAAGAAAUCAACCGAGAUUCCCCUAGUAGCGGCGAGCGAACGGGGAGCAGCCCAGAGUCUUAAUCAAUGGCAGCAUCAGGAGAACGGUCUGGAAAGUCCGGCAGUAAAGGGUGAUAGCCCCGUAUCCGAAGAUACUGUUA